AGACACAAAGGGGAGUCGCUGCAGCCGCCGGCCCGGGCGCCCGUCCCGCCGCACCGCCCCCGCCGCCCGGCUCCGCCCCGCACCAUGGAGGUGGCUCCAGACAUCAAACUAUGCAAUACACCUUCUGCCCAGCUGUACCUACCAAUAAAAGAAGCAAGAUCUACUUUGUUCAGAGAAAACAAGAACCUUGCCAUAUGGGUUGCACAGCACUGCCACCGUUUAGAUGGCAGGAAAAGCCCUAUCCACAAUGGUCAGCCUGUCCUGCCAAGAUGUGAGAGUGGUAAAACCUCCUGUGGCAUCACAUACCAGACCAGGCUCUCAUGCUCCCAGUUCUACCAAAAGCCUUAAGGAAAUGCUCAAUACUUCUAUCAGGAAGCAAAUAAAAAUGCCAGCCUCUGAUGAAGCCCUGAUAGACCUGAACUCAGUUUUCCAAGAUGGAGGUUCAGAGGAAGCAGCCUCUGUUUGUGCUCAUUGCUGGCCAUCCUUGAGCUUCACAUCAGCUUAACAAGUUCCAGGCACUCAUCUAAAGGACAGAAGUGGUGUCAACAACAUGCAUUUGUUCCUUGUUAUUUUAAAUGAGAGUGUGGAGGGAACCGUUUUUGCUCAGACUUCUUAGAACUGUUGCCUUUUGCAAUGAGAAAGGAGGCAUCAACUAUGAGCCCAACAGCAGAGCUUCUUCAGGUUUUGUCUUCUCUUGCAAUUUUGAAAAAGAGUAAAGACACAGUUGAAUUGAAGUCCCUUUUAACUCAGAUUUUGUUGUCACUGCAAGGACAAUGUCAGAGGGCUGACCACUUUCAGAUCCAUAGGUUCCAGAGAAAGGUGUUGCUGAGUGUGCCUGCCCAGCAUUCCUCUUCUGCAUGCAGCCAGCUCUAGGAACAUCACCUGGAGGAAGAUAAAAGUAAAAUUACUACCUUUUACUAAACCAAACAGGAGAUUUUUAUCCUUUCUGCUUCUGCCUGUAACAUGACAUCUGUUGCCUGACAAUUUUGAGACAUUUUUAUCUGAGAAGAUUGUUCCUUCAGAACAAGAAAUGAGUCAGUACCUCUGCACAACCUGCUUGCUUCUCAUGGAUUGAUUUGGAAACAUGAACCCAAUUAACUGCUUCCCCAAAGCAUCCAUCAGGAACCCUCUCCCUGAAGUAGUACAGGCCAGGACACCAACUCCAGCCACCAGCAUCAGUCCUGCUUGCUGGGGCCUGCAGGUAACAUUGAGGGCACAGUUAGUUCCUACCCCUCUGAGUCAAAUCAAUGUCUGAGCAGGGUUUCCCCUCUCUAGAUUUUUUGACAGUUUCACUUUUCUAUUUAUUUACUUUGAACCAUCCCCUCAACUUUGGAGAAGUUGCAUUUAGCAAAAGAAAAAACUACCACCCCUAUAGCUCUGCUUUCCUAACUGAUGAAACGCUCACAUUUCCAGCAACAGAAGGGUGAAAGGGGUGUGAAAUGAGGGCAAAGACAAGCAUGGACCCUGAACUAAAUGCUGAACAGAAAGAGGGAGGAAGUUGUAGGCAGGAGAGAGAGGAUCUGAGGAGUGAAAGGAGGAGAGAAAAUGUUACGGGAGAGGGUUUAUGUUUGAAUAUGGAUUUAAAUGAAAAUGCAUUUUGAUUUAACAGAAAGGAGGGUGCUAAACUCAGAUCUCUAUUAUGAACCAUGUUGACAGGGACAGUGGCUUGGAAGUUUCACACAAUGCUCAUCUGCAGGAGUACGUCCCUGGGACAGGCUGGCAGAUAGUCCUCAACUCAGAAGGAAACAGUAAGUCUCAGUUUCUCUUGGCUUAACCAAAAGCUGUAAAGCAUAUUCUUCCUGCUCUCCACUUGUAUUUAGAGCUCCCCUGCGUAUUUUGUUGAUGAAAUCUCUCACCCCAAUUCAGGAGAUAGCAGCGUUUGCUAAACAUACUCUGCCUUGCUACCAGAAGAGCUUCUGACCUUGUCCUGUCUUCUCCUUAGCGUUUGGCAAAUACUUAUCUGUACUCACUGUGACCUCCAGCCAGCUGGGUAAAAAGCUUUGGAGCCAAACAUGUGCACAAAUAAUUCCAGGGGUAGCUGUUACUACUGCAUUAUCUCUUUCUGUGGUUUCUACAGAUAGAAAUAUACAUGUUGCAGUUUACAACUCCUUUCCCUUUAGCAGACCAAGGACCAUCUUCAACUCAGGGCCAUUAAACCCAUCUCAACAAAGAGGGCCUUCAGUCUGGUACUCCCCUGUUUUGCCAGAUGUAUCCUAUCGGAUGAAACAGAGCCCACAACAGCCAAAAUCACAAAUCACAGCCCUGCCAUCUUUAGCCAAGAAGGUCUCCAUUUAAUCACUCUUCUCACCUUAUGUGUAACAGAGGCUAUUCUGUGUGUUUCCAAGCACUGCACCCCAUCUCUCCAACCCCUCCAGCCUCCCACAGCCCAGACAUGAGGUGUUUUUUCACCCUGACGCAUUGAGGUCCACGCCUGAUCAGAGUUCAUUCAACCCGAAGAGCAGCAAUGACUCGCUUCCAAAAAAUGAGACUAUUAUGGCUAGAGACCAUUAUGAAAGCCUGCGUGAAGCUGAGACCAGAUGUGUGCUCAGCUCACUCAAAAUAUUGCUUAGAGCAAAGCUCUGGAUUGUUUUGGUUUUGUUUUUUAAACAAAACAGGAUUGACAGAAUCUCUUCUGUAACAUGAGAGAUUUUCUGAUGUUUUUCUGCACUGCUGUUGCAGAUGUGUGGCUGGGCUGGGAGCUCACACCCACCGACAGUGACCACAGCAGCUCUCAGAAGUGGAUGAAGACAUGGAAGGAACCCUUAUGUGAUAGGAUGGAAGUGAUGGGGGUGCCAGCCCAUUUAAGUUCAGCUCCAAGAAUCAGCUUGUGGUCAUUGGGACCAUGUUAUUCUUUCAGCAGGAUGUUCUGUAUGAGCCCCUGGAAGUGAGAGCGAUAACAUGGCUCUGAUCACUUUUUGCCUUCACAGCAAACCUUUCAUCAGAGGAACCUCAAAGCAACUUGCCAGCAAGAAUGGGCACAACCUCACACUGUGCCUGUGAGAUAAGCGAAGGAUGGAAUAGAUUAACUGCUUAAAAGCACACAGCAGCUCUGUGGGAUGAAGGAAAAUAAGAAAAAAACCUUAUAUAUAUACAUACACUUUUGAAACCAUACAGGGUUUUAUGGAGAGGCAGCCUGGAAGGCUGCCAGGAUACUGAAAUUGCCACCCCUACACAACCACGAAUACCAUGGAAACCAGUGGGGCACUGGCAGGCAGGAAAGGAAAUCAGCUGAAAAAUGGCUUUCCAUGAAAUGCAGCCAGGCUGGGACACUGCUCCCCUCCUGACUGAGGGAGGCCUACGUGCCUAACCACCAGUGUUGCUGCUGGUGGGAGCUGGGCUCCAGGAGAGAGUCAGUCCCAGUAAUUUCCCAGCCUGGGGUAACGCUUUCCUGGCGGCGGCCAGUGGAUGACAGCAAAAAAUGGGAUGGCUGAAAACUGCUACAUCAUGUCAGCUGUGGUGGGGAGGUAAUGGAAACCCUGAGUGCCUAGUAAAGCUUCAACACAUGCUGGGAGGUAUAAGAAGAUCAAAGUCGGUUGACAUCUGAAUAAGGACAGGGAAGGAACAUGUAUGUGCAAGCUCCUGCCUGCCCUGUCUGGUGAGGCACGAUUAAAAAGCACAGAACACUCAUCAGUUUUCCUUCAAAAUACUAAAAAAGCACAAAGAAGGAUUCCUUUAACCUGAGCAAAAGUAAGUAAAGGAGGGAGACCUGGAAAACAAAGCCAAAAAUAACAAAUGAAACUGAAUGUAACAGGAAUAACAGAAAUAAACAAACCCAGACAAGCAGUGGAGGAGGAAUGAACAUGCUGUUAAUCUGUCAAGUACACCAUGCCCACAUCAAACUACAGAGUAAGCCCAGAGAAAUACCCAGCCUCCUAGCUGAGCAAGGGCACCUGCUUGUUACCAAACAGCACAUAUCCCUUAAAAAGUCAUACUCCUGGUAAGCAGGGGAGGAGGAAUUCAAGCAUAGAACAGCUGUACUCAUUCAAAAUACUGCUAAGAGGAACAGCGGCAUCUUAUGAGUAAGCUGGAUACGGCGCAAGCAGCACCAGGCUUGAACAAAAAUAGCCCAGUGGAGAUGAGAGGCAAGAAGAGACACCAGUACACUGCUCUCCUUCUAGCUCUCAUCAACUGAAGGAUGCAGAGGUGAUCUCCUACAGAGCCUAGAUUGAAUAGAGACAGGGGGAUAUUUCUUCAGAAAAGCAAAGAGAGCUGGAAAACCAGAGAAGCAGCAGAGCAGCAUUUCUGCUAUGUUAAAAUGCACAGAGCGAACAGACCUUCCAGUAAGCACAGGGGAGGGCUGGAAAGGGGAUGGGAGCAUUGCCGUGGCUGGCCCUGAUAAGGCUCUAUCUAGGAACAGGCGAGGGCUGUGCUCACAGCCCAGCUGAGAAAUGGGUCUGGAGGAGUGCGAGAACAACAGGAUAACAUCAGGCACUUCUCACACAGCUGAAGGACCGCCACUGGUCAUCAGGAGACAAGUGCAGAUGGGAGACUUUAAAGUGGUGCCAGAAAAAACAAGCUACAGCCAGGGUCGAGGAACAUGGGAUCCAACUCCUAGUUGUCAGCAAUUGUGGUGUAUACAUUGCUGAAAACAGAUGCAGUGCCAGGAAAAUCCAACUCCCAGCAUGAAAAGAAUAACUUAGGAAUGAUAAUGAGAGAAGCCAAAGCAACUGCGACUGUGAAUUAGUGAUUACAUAAAAGUUUUUAUCUUAAAGUUAUGUUAGGCCAAACCCUGAAGUAAUUUUUUUCAUCCAAGAAUGCUCCCUCGAGACCCUGUGAUUUGGCCACAAAUUGCUACAUUAAAAAAAAAAAAAUACCCCCACAAAAAAAAAAAAAAAAAA
rnacentral:lncRNA from 1 species